GAGAACCUCUGCCAAAACAAAACUAGUUACAUUGGUGGUGAAAUCCUCUCUGCUCCAACUUGACAUCCCUUUCAUUGAAGGCCUUCCUUGAGAUGGAUUAAAAGUAUGAGAAAGGAACAUUUAUUAGGCACUCAGACGUCACGAAUGUGUGUUAAGCACUGAACAGAUAUCCAAGCAGAAGGUCUGGGUUUACCUUUCAGCAGGAAGAUGUUGCCAUGAGGUGCAGCAUGAGCUGAGUGCCAGCCACAAUUGUAGCAGAAGAAGAAACCUAAGAGAGACUGAAUUUUCCGUACAGCCUUCCUCAGCCACAUCCUUCCAUCAUGCCGUUUCUGCCCUGAAGCCAGCAUCAUAGAGUAAAUCCGCUGGAAAACACCGGAAACUGUGAUCCGAAUAAACCUCUCC
ensembl:lncRNA